rnacentral:rRNA from 1 species
GAUGAACGCUGGCGGCGUGCCUAAUACAUGCAAGUCGAGCGAACAGAUGAGGAGCUUGCUCCUCUGUCGUUAGCGGCGGACGGGUGAGUAACACGUGGAUAACCUACCUAUAAGACUGGGAUAACUUCGGGAAACCGGAGCUAAUACCGGAUAAUAUAUUCAACCGCAUGGUUCAAUAGUGAAAGACGGUUUUGCUGUCACUUAUAGAUGGAUCCGCGCCGCAUUAGCUAGUUGGUAAGGUAACGGCUUACCAAGGCAACGGUGCGUAGCCGACCUGAGAGGGUGAUUGGCCUCACUGGAACUGAGACACGGACCAGACUCCUACGGGUGGCAACAGUAGGGAAUCGUCCGCAGUGUGCGCAAGCCUGACAGAGCAACACCGCGUAAAUGAGGAGGAUCUUCGGAUCGUAAAACUCUGUUAUUAGGGAAGAACAAAUGUGUAAGUGAAUAUGCACGUCCUGACGGUACCUGAUCAGAAGGCCACGGAUAACUACGUG